AGUGAGAUGGCAAAGUUGCUCCUCCUAAACUUAUACAUAACGUAAAUAACAUACUGAUCUUUUAAAAAAUAAAAUGACAUGUCUCAAACUGGCAAAUUUCCCCUAAGAAUUGGAAAAAUAAAUAAUUUGGACUGGAGUUGGUGACCCAGAGCAUUCUGAAUAAAUGUGGGGUCUAAGAACUGGCAGAAGGCCUGGAUCUGACUGAUGGAAAUGAGGGCUCUAGGCCUUCCAUACUAAAUGGCGAACUAGGAACUAUAAAAGAAAUAAUGUGGUGAAGAGCUUCGGCCAUCAAGUUAUCCUAAAAAUGAAGUAGGGCAUUUUAUAUGUGGUGAGAAGGGCACUGAUUAUUAUCUGAAUAUUGCUAAUAUGUCCCACAGAACCUACUUGGAAUAAUUUUUUACUAUUAAUUUGAACAAGAGCACUGAGACUCUUUAUAUGUAUAAUAAAGCUAAUUUUACAUUUAAUAGAGAUGAUUUUAUUUUUUAAUGUUAGUAAAAUCAGAAUCUUAUUAAAUUUUAGAAGUGAAUAAAACUUUUAUAACUU